CCGACAGAAGAAGCACCGGCUAACUCCGUGCCAGCAGCCGCGGUAAUACGGAGGGUGCAAGCGUUAAUCGGAAUUACUGGGCGUAAAGCGCACGCAGGCGGUUGAUUGAGUCAGAUGUGAAAUCCCCGGGCUUAACCAGGGAAUUGCAUCUGAUACUGGUCAGCUAGAGUCUUGUAGAGGGGGGUAGAAUUCCAUGUGUAGCGGUGAAAUGCGUAGAGAUGUGGAGGAAUACCGGUGGCGAAGGCGGCCCCCUGGA
rnacentral:rRNA from 1 species